rnacentral:rRNA from 1 species
UGGGGAAUUUUGCGCAAUGGGGGAAACCCUGACGCAGCAACGCCGCGUGAGUGAUGAAGGCCUUCGGGUCGUAAAGCUCUGUCAGAGGGGAAGAAGUGUGAGGUGGCUAAUAUCCAUUUCACUUGACGGUACCUUCAAAGGAAGCACCGGCUAACUCCGUGCCAGCAGCCGCGGUAAUACGGAGGGUGCGAGCGUUGUUCGGAAUUAUUGGGCGUAAAGCGCGUGUAGGCGGUUUUUUAAGUCUGAUGUGAAAGCCCUGGGCUCAACCCGGGAAUGCAUUGGAAACUGGGAGACUUGAAUACGGGAGAGGGCAGUGGAAUUCCGUGGUGUAGGAGUGAAAUCCGUAGAUAUCAGGAGGAACACCGGUGGCGAAGGCGGCUGGCCUGGACCGAUAUUGACGCU